CGGCCGGGACGGGGGUGGGCGCUCCGGGACACGGGGCUGCGGGCAGAGCGCCCUCCCGCCCCGCUCACCUUCCCCUAGCUCCGCGGUGGUCACACCGAGGGUCCCCUUCGGGAGCGGCGGGUGUCCCGGUGCUGGCCCUCGCUCGGCUCUGGGUGACCCUCUGGAGCAUUGACAUGAGUCACGGCUGUGCACGUCCUGCCUGGACCGGGCUGGCUGAAGGGCAGAACUCAGGAUCUCCCCAGGUGUAAAUUUCUUGCCUCACGAGCGGGGGCACCCAGGGUUGUCCCUUCCUAUCACAUUGUGCUUUUACUCAGUUCCAAACACCUACACCACUUCUCCAUCUUUUCCUGCUGUUCACUUGGUUAAUUUUCCUAACACCCAAGUUGGCAGGAAGUCACAAUUUGGGUUUGUUUUUUAUUCUUUUUUUUUUUAUUCUCGUUAAUUCACAAAUAAUGACAAGGGAAAUUUCAAAAACCCCCCAGUUCCUGUCUUGCAAGGAGCUUGAAGAACAGCAAGAAGAUGGUUGUGCAGAAAAGAAGUAAGAGAGAACCAAACCAAAAAAAGCCACAGGUAAUGGUCAUGGAGGGCUUGAAGGGCAUCUGCCUUCCCUCAUCACAAAGUGAAGGGAGUGAGCAGAAUGGUUCAAGAAGGAGCAGAUGGAAACAGCUGCCAACAGAUGAGUACUGGAAUGGAUUCAAGCCACACUACUUGCUGGAAUUUGAGAGUUUGUGAAGGCCUGAGCUUUCCCAACCACAGGGAAUCACUGGGAGACCUUUACAAAGUUGGACUUUGCUGAAGAUGCUGAGUGGCCAGUCGUGCCUUGGAGGCUCCUCUGACCCAUGGGAGACUGGGCUGCUCCUCAGAAUGGUCCUGUGCUCUGACAUUGAUUUAUCAUCCACCAUGACCACAAGCUCAGGGAUGAGGAAGGAAUACCCAUGGCUGCUACCAUCCCUGCCCCUCUGGCUUCAGAUAAAUCACCAAGCUUGGAGCAUGACUGCCCCAGGAAGAAGGAGAAGCAACUGCAUUGCUCUGCUCAACACAUGGCAGCCUGCUCCUCUCCUCUCCACAGAACAUUGAUCUUCAAGGCCAUACACAAUUAAAGGAGUGGGAGACAUUCCCUGGAAUUAGCUGUUCCCUCUUUCAUUUUCCUGCUUAAGGUAAGAGCUGCACAAACUCCUUCUAUAAGAGUCACCUAGCAGAGAAUACAAUGACUGGUCUGUCAUCAAAGUAUUUAGGGAUGGUGACGAUACCUAGAUUGAUUUUCAGUGUGUUUUUUGUUUUUAUUUUACUGUGAUGUUUCUACAAAAUCCAUAAAUCAUAGGGAUGUGAUAGGAAACAGGUUGCAGUUGCUGGUUAUUCUUGUCCAGAUGCACAGAAAUGCCCUGAUUGUUACUUUCCAAUGACAGCCAGCUCAGGGCUAAACAUUUUUCAGUUGCACAGCCAGCUUUCAAGGUUACACAUAGAUACUGAAUGAAACAGAGCCCACUGGUUAUUUUUAGAGAGGCUCUAAACAAGAAGCAAAUCCCUGGAGCAGUGCUGCCAGGGAUGCAUAAAGUUCAAAUCCAAAUUAAAACUGCCUAUCUUUGGCCUACAUUCCAACUUGAACUUGAGGAAAACUGUAACCUGUGACUUGAACUUUAUGACAAAAACUCAUUUUCAAUUAGUUUCUAAUACCUGAGAAUACAUGAACUUGGUACAAACACUUACAAAAUAGAACUUGAAUGAAAAAUGUGAACACUUAUCCCAAAAUAUAGUAUCUGUUCUUGUGAGUUUUGUAUGGUUUCAGUAGCUACAUUGGAAUUUGGAGUGUCUAAUUUUUUGUGAUUCUUAGUUUCAACACAUCUUUUUAAUAUCAAGUCCUACAAUGUAAUUGUAAAUUUUGGGGGCAGGAGGAGAAACAUGCUUAUUUAUUGACCCUUCUAAUAAUGACUUGUGAUGCUCAGGUCUAGGUUUAGCAGUGACCACACCAGAAUAUAAAGAAAGGAGACCCUUUGACAGCAGCAUAUUUAUGCAAAGUAGUGCAACUGAAGCAUGUUCUUGAUUUCUUUGCUGAAUCAGAGCCUGUAUCUUCUUCCUGCCAAGGCAGGGAUCUAAUACCACUUCUAAAUGCACUAGUAAUUCUAGAAGCCCUAAUGAAAGUCAAGAUAACACCACAGAUUUUAUAAAUAAGGGUCUUUAUUUAGAAUACUGUUGAAAACAUUCUUGGCAACCACAUCGUAUAAAUAUAUAAAGUUAAAGUUUGACACAACAAACCAAGCAAUAUUAAAUAUUUUUAAAUUUUUCCUCUUUUUAAGUUUUUGGGGUUUUUUUUCUUUUUUUUUCAAAUUUAUUUAUUUUUGCUCUUUUUCUUUCCUUUUUUUUUUUUUUUGGAAAG